ACUUAAUGCACAUUAUUGGUUAUACAAAAGAAUGAGAAAAGAAAAGGGAUGAGGGUUUCAAAUGGCAUACUACACUGGUGGUAAAAUUAGAAUAAGAAACUCCAGCAAAGGUAUUCCAAGUCAGAGUUGAAGAGCUUUUAACAACCCAAACACAAAAAUUAAUAUGAAAAAGCACAAAAAAUGGAGACAGCAUCCUCAGUCCUGAUAUAUCUUUUGAUAUAAACAAAAAUGAGAUGUGGAAACAAGCCAAACAAUGAAAAAUAGUGAUUUCAUUACUCAUUAAUGAACAGUAAACAAAAACAGAAAGAUAACCAUUAAUGCAUCAUAUACCCUCUUAUGGUUGCAAAUUUUACAGCAUUUUCCACUGAAUAAUUUACCUAUAAACUCAUUUUAAAAAAAAUUUAUGUGUUUAGGUUUAAUUUUGGACUCUGCAA
rnacentral:misc_RNA from 1 species